UUAAUUUUGAUAUUGUUUUUCAUCAAACCCGCAUUAACUGUUGAAAAAAAAUUAUUAUAAUUUCUACAAUAGCAAUCAGUUUAGUUACAGUUUAAUUUAAAUUUCGGGCUUAACUGUUAGACACGGGCUUCUUAAUCCUCAAAUACAGCGAUUACUUAGUGACUGAAAGCCACUUGAAAAAAGUGCUACAAAAUGAACUACAAAAUAAUAAUCAUUGUCCUAGAUUUCGUAGGCUUUUGUUCUUUAUCGCUUGCCUAUAAUAAAAACAAGUGUGAUGCCCCCCCUAGCGAAUCGGGAUAUUGCAUGGCAGAUCUUGCGAGGUGGGUUUUUAAGGACAAAAAGUGUCAGCGAAUCUUAUACGGUGGAUGUGGAGGCACUCCGAAUUUAUUUUUGUUUAAGUACCACUGCGAAGUAGCUUGCGAUGUUCCGAAAUUACCAAAUUAUCCUUAUGGGAAGCACUCAUGUAUAAAACGUGGAUCAUGCUAAGGUUGGACAUGAAGUCAAACAUGUUCUCCAUAAACAAAAAAAAAUGGAGUUUAUUUUGUAUGUCAAGUUUGGCAUGGACCUAACUUACAACAAUCCGAAAAUAUUGUAUAACCUUUUAUAAUUGCUUAACACUUUAAUUGAAUUACUUGUUUUCGUGAAAUGUAAGUAAGUCUUAACUUUAACCACAACAGCUCGAUUAUUUAGUAGCUCGCAGCGACUAUAAAAAAACGGUACAAAAUGAACUACAAAAUUAUUUUUACUGCCUUCUCACUUGUGACUCUUUUCACUUUUGCUCUGGCUCACAACAAAGAAAAGUGUGACGCUCUUCCUUCUGACACCGGGUUGUGCAGGGCCGCUUUUUCCGCCGUGACCUUUAAGGACAAAAAAUGUACUGACUUCAUCUAUGGAGGGUGUGGCGCAACUCCAAACUAUUUUGAUUCAUUAAAGGAAUGCGAAGCAGCUUGCCUAAAAUAAAACAUGUAUUUAAUAUAUUCAAAUAAACAGAAAGUAAUUAAUUAAAAAUUAA